rnacentral:rRNA from 1 species
CCCUUAGAUGUUCUGGGCUGCACGCGCGCUACACUGAAGCGUUCAACGAGUAUUCACCUUGCCCGGGAGGGUUGGGUAAUCUUUUGAAAACGCUUCGUGAUGGGGAUAGAUUAUUGCAAUUAUUAAUCUUCAACGAGGAAUUCCUAGUAAACGCAAGUCAUCAGCUUGCAUUGAUUACGUCCCUGCCCUUUGUACACACCGCCCGUCGCACCUACCGAUUGAAUGGUCCGGUGAAAUCCUCGGAUCGAGCCGUGGGGCAACUCCGGUUCGAGAAGUUGAUUAAACCUUACCAUUUAGAGGAAGGUGAAGUCGUANCA